UACGGGGGGAGCAAGCGUUGUUCGGAUUUACUGGGCGUAAAGGGCGCGUAGGCGGCCACCGCAAGUCGACUGUGAAAUCUCCGGGCUUAACCCGGAAAGGUCAGCCGAUACUGCGGGGCUAGAGUGCAGAAGGGGCAACUGGAAUUCUCGGUGUAGCGGUGAAAUGCGUAGAUAUCGAGAGGAACACCAAUAGCGAAGGCAGCUCGCUGGGGACGUUACUGACGCUGAGGCGCGAAAGCGUGGGGGAGCAAACAGG
rnacentral:rRNA from 1 species